rnacentral:lncRNA from 1 species
AUGUUUGAGCCAGAGGAACACCUAUUUAGUCCCACUACAAAACUUGAAGAAAAGGUCUCCUCUCCUAAUGCUGUACCAGUCCUCUCCUCGUGGAUGACUUGGGAAAGAAAUUCCACAAGUAUAAGACGGAUUUUCUUCCAAGCUGUUGACAUCCAUUCAACAAGUUUUGAUGCUGACAUCUUGAAUGCAUGUACCGGUCAUGCCAAUCACUUCACAACUGCUGCCUCUUUGAGAGUUAAUAUAAAAUGCCAUCAAUUAAAAGAUGCAUCCCAGUUUCAGAGAUUUGAAGAUAUGAGAGUUGUGCACCUUACAG